rnacentral:rRNA from 1 species
GACGAACGCUGGCGGCGUGCUUAACACAUGCAAGUCGAACGGAAAGGCCCUGCUUUUGUGGGGUGCUCGAGUGGCGAACGGGUGAGUAACACGUGAGUAACCUGCCCUUGACUUUGGGAUAACUUCAGGAAACUGGGGCUAAAACCGGAUAGGAGCUCCUGCUGCAUGGUGGGGGUUGGAAAGUUUCGGCGGUUGGGGAUGGACUCGCGGCUUAUCAGCUUGUUGGUGGGGUAGUGGCUUACCAAGGCUUUGACGGGUAGCCGGCCUGAGAGGGUGACCGGCCACAUUGGGACUGAGGUACGGCCCAGACUCCUACGGGAGGCAGCAGUGGGGAAUAUUGCACAAUGGGCGGAAGCCUGAUGCAGCAACGCCGCGUGCGGGAUGACGGCCUUCGGGUUGUAAACCGCUUUCGCCUGUGACGAAGCGUGAGUGACGGUAAUGGGUAAAGAAGCACCGGCUAACUACGUG